rnacentral:rRNA from 1 species
AUGCAAGUCGAGCGAACAGACGAGGAGCUUGCUCCUUUGACGUUAGCGGCGGACGGGUGAGUAACACGUGGGUAACCUACCUAUAAGACUGGGAUAACUUCGGGAAACCGGAGCUAAUACCGGAUAAUAUUUCGAACCGCAUGGUUCGAUAGUGAAAGAUGGCUCUGCUAUCACUUAUAGAUGGACCUGCGCCGUAUUAGCUAGUUGGUAAGGUAACGGCUUACCAAGGCAACGAUACGUAGCCGACCUGAGAGGGUGAUCGGCCACACUGGAACUGAGACACGGUCCAGACUCCUACGGGAGGCAGCAGUAGGGAAUCUUCCGCAAUGGGCGAAAGCCUGACGGAGCAACGCCGCGUGAGUGAUGAAGGUCUUCGGAUCGUAAAACUCUGUUAUUAGGGAAGAACAAACGUGUAAGUAACUGUGCACGUCUUGACGGUACCUAAUCAGA